rnacentral:lncRNA from 1 species
CGAGAAGGCUGCGUGUAGCUUUCGCCAGUGUGAGCAAAGUUUGUAAGGGAUACGUUAACACACUGAUGGCUACACCAGACUCCAACAUGGGAACCGACUCCAGAGGUGGGAUAUUUGAGUGUCUGUGGAGGCCUCUGAGAAGAGUCUGGAGACUCCUGUGCUGCUGUGAGCCUGAAAUAAAACUUUCUGUGGAAGAAACCUCACCACAUUUUAGUGGCCUUAGCUCUGUCCGUCCGUGGUGAAGAUCCUCAAGUUGUUUAUCUUCACUGAGAUGAUCAUUUUGAAUGAAUUGCUGUCCAGCCAAACAAUAGAGUUCUUGGACCUACGUUUUAAACCCAGGUUUAAAGACUGAGAAGAUUAUAUACUUCCUCUUAAACCAUCUACCCUGCUGAACAACAUGUCGGCCUGACCGCCAUACUGACAUGGAAUGGAUCUCCUCAAACCUCUGGACAGCAUGUUCUUCUCUUUUGCCAAACUGACAAAGACAGUAGUGCACAAACAGAC